AUGAACAAAAUUACUCUCUUUCUUCUCUUUCCCAAACGACAUCCAUCCACUCAACUCCCUCCGCCGCCGGCUCUGAAUCUUGUUCAAGGAUUUACGGCCUCCAUUUUCGUCCUUGUUUUCCCCCGAUGCUGGCUUCUGAUUAUCACCCUCGCGCCUUCAGUUUGCCUUGGUUCGCUUAGCCGCGGCAUCUUCCCCUGUCUCCGAAUCCAGAUUCUUUCAACCCCGCGUUGCCUCAAUGUCUCAGCCUCACUUCGCUUGUGCCUUCACCGUGACAAUCUCCAUUUCUGA
rnacentral:lncRNA from 1 species